GCCGCGUGAGUGAUGAAGGCCCUAGGGUUGUAAAGCUCUUUCACCGGUGAAGAUAAUGACGGUAACCGGAGAAGAAGCCCCGGCUAACUUCGUGCCAGCAGCCGCGGUA
rnacentral:rRNA from 1 species